rnacentral:rRNA from 1 species
GAGUUUGAUCAUGGCUCAGGAUGAACGCUAGCGGCAGGCUUAACACAUGCAAGUCGAGGGGUAACAGGUUUUAGUUUACUAGAAUGCUGACGACCGGCGCACGGGUGAGUAACGCGUAUACAAUUUACCUUUUACAGGGGGAUAGCCUUUAGAAAUGAAGAUUAAUACCCCAUGGUAUUAUAGAGUGGCAUCACUUUAUGAUUAAAGCUUCGGCGGUAAGAGAUGAGUAUGCGUCCUAUUAGCUAGAUGGUAAGGUAACGGCUUACCAUGGCGACGAUAGGUAGGGGUCCUGAGAGGGAGAUCCCCCACACUGGUACUGAGACACGGACCAGACUCCUACGGGAGGCAGCAGUGAGGAAUAUUGGUCAAUGGAGGCAACUCUGAACCAGCCAUGGCCGCGUGCAGGAAGACGGUCCUAUGGAUUGUAAACUGCUUUUAUAGAGGAAGAAACCCGGUUACGUGUAAUCGGCUGACGGUACUCUACGAAUAAGCACCGGCUAACUCCGUGCCAGCAGCCGCGGUAAUACGGAGGGUGCAAGCGUUAUCCGGAAUCAUUGGGUUUAAAGGGUCCGUAGGCGGGCGAUUAAGUCAGAGGUGAAAUCCCACAGCUCAACUGUGGAACUGCCUUUGAUACUGGUUGUCUUGAAUUACUGUGAAGUGGUUAGAAUAUGUAGUGUAGCGGUGAAAUGCUUAGAGAUUACAUAGAAUACCGAUUGCGAAGGCAGAUCACUAACAGUAUAUUGACGCUGAUGAACGAAAGCGUGGGUAGCGAACGGGAUUAGAUACCCCGGUAGUCCAUGCCGUAAACGAUGGAUACUAGCUGUUCGGACGCAAGUUUGAGUGGCUAAGCGAAAGUGAUAAGUAUCCCACCUGGGGAGUACGUUCGCAAGAAUGAAAC